GCCAUACCGCGUGUGUGAAGAAGGCCUUCGGGUUGUAAAGCACUUUAAGCAGGGAGAAAAAGUUAUAAGCUAAUAUCUUAUGACCUUGAUGUUACCUGCAGAAUAAGCACCGGCUAAUUCCGUGCCAGCAGCCGCGGUAAUACGGAAGGUGCAAGCGUUAAUCGGAAUUACUGGGCGUAAAGCGCGCGUAGGUGGUUUGUUAAGUUGGAUGUGAAAGCCCUGGGCUCAACCUAGGAACUGCAUCCAAAACUAACUCACUAGAGCACGAUAGAGGGAGGUAGAAUUCAUAGUGUAGCGGUGGAAUGCGUAGAUAUUAUGAAGAAUACCAGUGGCGAAGGCGGCCUCCUGGAUCUGCACUGACACUGAGGUGCGAAAGCGUGGGUAGCGAACAGGAUUAGAUACCCUGGUAGUCCACGCCGUAAACGAUGACAACUAGCUGUUGGGAGACAAAGUCUUUCAGUGGCGCAGCUAACGCUUUAAGUUGUCCGCCUGGGGAGUACGGCCGCAAGGCUAAAACUCAAAUGAAUUGACGGGGACCCGCACAAGCAGUGGAGCAUGUGGUUUAAUUCGACGCAACGCGAAGAACCUUACCAGCGUUUGACAUGGGAAGUACCGGUUACAGAAUGGUAACCUUCAGUUCGGCUGGCUUCCACACAGGUGCUGCAUGGCUGUCGUCAGCUCGUGUCGUGAGAUGUUGGGUUAAGUCCCGCAACGAGCGCAACCCUUAUCGUUAGUUACUAACAGUUCGGCUGAGGACUCUAGCGAAACUGCCGGUGAUAAGCCGGAGGAAGGUGGGGAUGACGUCAAGUCCUCAUGGCCCUUACACGCUGGGCUACACACGUGCUACAAUGGUAACUACAACGGGACGCAAUACCGCGAGGUGGAGCAAAUCCCAAAAAGUUAUCUCAGUUCGGAUUGCACUCUGCAACUCGAGUGCAUGAAGUUGGGAAUUGCUAGUAAUCGCGGAUCAGCAUGC
rnacentral:rRNA from 1 species